rnacentral:rRNA from 1 species
AGGGUUUGAUCCUGGCUCAGGACUAACGCUGGCGGCGUGCCUAACACAUGCAAGUCGAACGCAUCUGUGCUUCGGUACAGAUGAGUGGCGAACGGGUGAGUAACACGUGAGUAACUCCCCUGGGGGAGGGGGAUAACCAUCUGAAAAGGUGGCUAAUACCCCAUAUUCUCUUUUCUCAUAAGAGGAAAGAGGAAAGAUGGCGUAAGCUAUCACCCCGAGAGAGGCUCGCGUCCCAUCAGCUAGUUGGUAAGGUAAGAGCUUACCAAGGCUAUGACGGGUAGCUGGUCUGAGAGGAUGGUCAGCCACACUGGGACUGAGACACGGCCCAGACUCCUACGGGAGGCAGCAGUGAGGAAUCUUGGGCAAUGGGCGAAAGCCUGACCCAGCGACGCCGCGUGGAGGAAGAAGGCCUUCGGGUCGUAAACUCCUGUUCGGGGAGAAGAACAGGAGGGAAGUGAAUAACUUCUCUCCCUGACGGUAUCCCCGGAGAAAGCUCCGGCUAAUUACGUGCCAGCAGCCGCGGUAAUACGUAAGGAGCGAGCGUUGUCCGGAUUUACUGGGCGUAAAGAGCUCGUAGGUGGUUUCUUAGGUCUCACGUGAAAUUCCCUGGCUCAACUGGGGAGGGUCGUGGGAAACCGAGAAGCUAGAGGGCAGGAGAGGAGAGUGGAAUUCCCGGUGUAGCGGUGAAAUGCGUAGAGAUCGGGAGGAACACCAGUGGUGAAGACGGCUCUCUGGACUGUCCCUGACACUGAGGAGCGAAAGCCAGGGGAGCGAACCGGAUUAGAUACCCGGGUAGUCC